rnacentral:rRNA from 1 species
UACGGAGGGGGCUAGCGUUGUUCGGAAUUACUGGGCGUAAAGCGCACGUAGGCGGCUUUUUAAGUCAGAGGUGAAAGCCCGGGGCUCAACUCCGGAAUUGCCUUUGAGACUGGGAGGCUUGAUCGUCGGAGAGGUGAGUGGAAUUCCGAGUGUAGAGGUGAAAUUCGUAGAUAUUCGGAAGAACACCAGUGGCGAAGGCGGCUCACUGGACGACUGAUGACGCUGAGGUGCGAAAGCGUGGGGAGCAAACAGG